AGUGAACGCUGGCGGUAGGCCUAACACAUGCAAGUCGAACGGCAGCGCAGUAAGAGCUUGCCCUUACGGGUGGCGAGUGGCGGACGGGUGAGGAAUACAUCGGAAUCUACUUUUUCGUGGGGGAUAACGUAGGGAAACUUACGCUAAUACCGCAUACGACCUACGGGUGAAAGCAGGGGAUCUUCGGACCUUGCGCGAUUGAAUGAGCCGAUGUCGGAUUAGCUAGUUGGCGGGGUAAAGGCCCACCAAGGCGACGAUCCGUAGCUGGUCUGAGAGGAUGAUCAGCCACACUGGAACUGAGACACGGUCCAGACUCCUACGGGAGGCAGCAGUGGGGAAUAUUGGACAAUGGGCGCAAGCCUGAUCCAGCCAUACCGCGUGGGUGAAGAAGGCCUUCGGGUUGUAAAGCCCUUUUGUUGGGAAAGAAAAGCAGCAGGUUAAUACCCCGCUGUUCUGACGGUACCCAAAGAAUAAGCACCGGCUAACUUCGUG
rnacentral:rRNA from 1 species